rnacentral:rRNA from 1 species
GACAGAGGUCCCAAGCGUUAGGCGGAAUCACUGGGCUUAAAGCGUGUGUAGGCGGAUUUGUAAGUACCUUGUGAAAUCCCACGGCUCAACCGUGGAACUGCUUGGUAUACUGCUUAUCUUGGGUCAUCUAGGGGCGAGCGGAACAAACGGUGGAGCGGUGAAAUGCGUAGAUAUCGUUUGGAACGCCAAUGGUGAAAACAGCUCGCUGGGGAUGUACCGACGCUGAGACACGAAAGCCAGGGGAGCGAACGGG